rnacentral:rRNA from 1 species
AGCGAACGCUGGCGGCAGGCCUAACACAUGCAAGUCGAACGAACUCUUCGGAGUUAGUGGCGGACGGGUGAGUAACACGUGGGAACGUGCCUUUUGGUUCGGAAUAACUCAGGGAAACUUGUGCUAAUACCGAAUGUGCCCUUCGGGGGAAAGAUUUAUCGCCAUUAGAGCGGCCCGCGUCUGAUUAGCUAGUUGGUGAGGUAACGGCUCACCAAGGCGACGAUCAGUAGCUGGUCUGAGAGGAUGACCAGCCACACUGGGACUGAGACACUGCCCAGACUCCUACGGGAGGCAGCAGUGGGGAAUCUUGCGCAAUGGGCGAAAGCCUGACGCAGCCAUGCCGCGUGAAUGAUGAAGGUCUUAGGAUUGUAAAAUUCUUUCACCGGGGACGAUAAUGACGGUACCCGGAGAAGAAGCCCCGGCUAACUUCGUG